ACAAUUAAUGGAGAGCCAACAAUAAGAACGUCGUUUCUUUGGCUUUCUUCGGAAUGACACCAAAAAUUACGAAUUAGGCCAGAUCUGGGGAAAGAGGAAAAAGGGAUGGCCGACAUGGCUUUGGGGAAUUCUAACAUCGUUAGUUGAUUCCGGUGGGAUCUAAGCUAAUUUUUGCGCGGCUGGCAGCGGCAAAUCAAGUGGUGGCCGGCCGGUUUUUUGAGAAUUACGGCGACGGGAAGGGAAAGAAAGGGUUGGCGGUAACGAUGACUGUGUACCACCGUCCAUGGCUUUGCCAUUAGCGGCGUCGCCGACGAUGAUGAUGGUUUGAUCGGUUUUUGGUGAGAAACUUGUUGGAAAAUUUAAAACGAUGGAUUUUCUUUUCUCCGUUCAACUUUCGAUCUUUCCUCUCUUCCUCUCGUUAUCUUCUUUCUUUUUAUCGAUCUCUCUUACUGUUUUUUUUACUGUAUACAUACAUAUUCAUUGUGAUUAUGGUGAAUAUUCUGUAUGUACAGUAUAUGUGUGUGACUGGCAAUUUAUAUAGAUGUUGUAUGUUUUGAGACUAAAAUAAAAAUAAGAGUGCAUGAUCAGUGAAAAAUUAGUAUGUGUACAUGCAUAUGAAAAGUGGAUUCAUGUAACUGUGUGUAAAUGGG
rnacentral:lncRNA from 1 species